GUGACUAGUUUCCUGAGCCCUUGGCGAGAGCGGUUAUACAAGGGAGCUCUCUACUUCCUCAUCUAUUUUACAGAGGACCAAGAUUCUGAUAAGAUUUGACAAGCAUAAAUCCAGCUUGCCCCAAAGGUUUGUUAAAGAGCACGAGCGGACAAACGGGAUUGUGAAGACACCAGACAGGAUUAAAUGACAACAUGCUGA